rnacentral:rRNA from 1 species
CCUACGGGAGGCAGCAGUGAGGAAUAUUGGUCAAUGGUCGGGAGACUGAACCAGCCAAGCCGCGUGAGGGAUGAAGGUACAGAGUAUCGUAAACCUCUUUUGUCAGGGAACAAAGGCGGGGACGUGUCCCCAGAUGAGUGUACCUGAAGAAAAAGCAUCGGCUAACUCCGUGCCAGCGGCCGCGGUAAUACGGGGGAUGCGAGCGUUAUCCGGAUUUAUUGGGUUAAAGGGGUGCGCAGGCGGUCAGUUAAGUCAGCGGUAAAAGCCCGGGGCUAAACCCGGGCCCGCAGUUGAAACUGGCAGGCUCGAGUUGGAGAGAGGUAUGCGGAAUGCGCGGUGUAGCGGUGAAAUGCAUAGAUAUCGCGCAGAACUCCGAUUGCGAAGGCAGCAUGCCGGCUCCACACUGACGCUGAGGCGCGAAAGCGUGGGUAUCGAACAGGAUUAGAUACCCUUGUAGUC